UAAUACAAUUAGCAAAAUAUUAUGGUUUGUUAUUUACAAGUUACUAAAUUUUUAUUGCUAUUUGCAAAACAUCAAUGAAAAUUUGUCAAUCGUAAACAUAGCUUCUGUGAAUGGCAACCCAAGUGGAGGGUUAUUUCAAAAUUGUGAUAAUUUUCUCUCAACUAUUAACAUUUUAUACAAUGGGUAACAUCAAAUUCAUUCUCCAAGAUCGGCUCAAUCCGAUCCCUUCUAUUUCUAGUCAGAAGAUAGAAUCGUGACAUAUGCCUGCGAUGAAAUGCAUCAAGGCCUCUAAUAAAUAAAAAUUAAUACUUAAUUCGAAGUGGACUCACCGCAGUGGACUCUUACAGUAUGAAAACUGAAUUCUUGGUGAGAAACGUUGGAGACUUCAAAGCCCCGUUUAAACUAAAAUCUUUGGACCAUUUGUUUUCUCAAAGAAAUUACGACGCACCCCUUCCCGUUUCAAUACAUAUCAAGAAUACUGCUUUACGAGACCAACAAUGUAAUCACUGUGAUUAAUCCAAAUGACUAUCAUAUCUUUGUUUUCGACUUUCUCAGAGGUAAUUUGAUUUAUAUGAUAUGGCGGUCUUUAAAAAAAUAAC